GCUGGCGGAAUGCUUUACACAUGCAAGUCGAGCGGCAGCGCGGGGCAACCUGGCGGCGAGCGGCGAACGGGUGAGUAAUGCAUCGGAACAUGUCCAAGUCGUGGGGGAUAGCCCGGCGAAAGCCGGAUUAAUACCGCAUACGCCCGAGAGGGGAAAGCGGGGGACCGCAAGGCCUCGCGCGAUUGGGUUGGCCGAUGUCCGAUUAGCUAGUUGGCGGGGUAAAGGCCCACCAAGGCGAUGAUCGGUAGCUGGUCUGAGAGGAUGAUCAGCCACACUGGGACUGAGACACGGCCCAGACUCCUACGGGAGGCAGCAGUGGGGAAUUUUGGACAAUGGGGGAAACCCUGAUCCAGCCAUUCCGCGUGAGUGAAGAAGGCCUUCGGGUUGUAAAGCUCUUUUGUCCGGAACGAAAAGGUUACGGUGAAUAUCCGUGACUACUGACGGUACCGGAAGAAUAAGCACCGGCUAACUACGUGCCAGCAGCCGCGGUAAUACGUAGGGUGCGAGCGUUAAUCGGAAUUACUGGGCGUAAAGCGUGCGCAGGCGGUUUUGCAAG
rnacentral:rRNA from 1 species